rnacentral:rRNA from 1 species
ACGGGUGAGUAAUGCCUAGGAAUCUGCCUGGUAGUGGGGGACAACGUUUCGAAAGGAACGCUAAUACCGCAUACGUCCUACGGGAGAAAGCAGGGGACCUUCGGGCCUUGCGCUAUCAGAUGAGCCUAGGUCGGAUUAGCUAGUUGGUGAGGUAAUGGCUCACCAAGGCGACGAUCCGUAACUGGUCUGAGAGGAUGAUCAGUCACACUGGAACUGAGACACGGUCCAGACUCCUACGGGAGGCAGCAGUGGGGAAUAUUGGACAAUGGGCGAAAGCCUGAUCCAGCCAUGCCGCGUGUGUGAAGAAGGUCUUCGGAUUGUAAAGCACUUUAAGUUGGGAGGAAGGGUUGUAGAUUAAUACUCUGCAAUUUUGACGUUACCGACAGAAUAAGCACCGGCUAACUCUGUGCCAGCAGCCGCGGUAAUACAGAGGGUGCAAGCGUUAAUCGGAAUUACUGGGCGUAAAGCGCGCGUAGGUGGUUCGUUAAGUUGGAUGUGAAUCCCCGGGCUCAACCUGGGAACUGCAUCCAAAACUGGCGAGCUAGAGUAUGGUAGAGGGUGGUGGAAUUUCCUGUGUAGCGGUG